rnacentral:rRNA from 1 species
UACAGAGGGUGCAAGCGUUGUUCGGAAUUAUUGGGCGUAAAGCGCGUGUAGGCGGCUUUGUAAGUCGGGUGUGAAAUCCCUCAGCUCAACUGAGGAAGUGCGCCCGAAACUGCAGAGCUUGAGUACCGGAGAGGAUGGUGGAAUUCCCCAAGUAGAGGUGAAAUUCGUAGAUAUGGGUGAGGAACACCAGUGGCGAAGGCGACCAUCUGGACGGAUACUGACGCUGAGACGCGAAAGCGUGGGUAGCAAACAGG